CACGGAGUUUACUGCUUCAAACAUAAACAACGAUGGCAAAGGGAGCGGAUGUCUUCUUUUAAGGACACAAAGCCAGAGGAUGUCCACACCAAGGGUAUGAAGAUGAGCAUCUUAACUAUUACUGGAAGAUGAUGUUGUCAUCCACUCAAACCUAAAGGUGCCUAGGAUGUAGUACUAGAGACGCAGAUUGUGUUGGAAUAUAUACAUGGCCUUACCACUGCUGUUGCUGUCCUCUUUGGCUUAAUUUAGAUCAUCCAAAAAAAUGAAAAUUCUGUCAUCAUUUACUCACAGCCAUGUCGAUCCAAACCCAUAAGACAUUUGUUCAUCUUUAAUACACAAAUGAAGAUAUUUUUAAUGAAACCUGAGAUAUUUCUGUCCAUUCACUGAAAAACUAUUCACCUAAAAUUCUGAUGCUUCAAAAUGUUCAUAAAGAGAUUGUAAAACAAAUACAUAAGAAUCGAAUGGUUUAAACAAAGUCUUCUGAAGAGACGUGAUCACAUUACACAUCACGCAUUUCACACUAAAUGCUGCUCCAUCUCUGCAAGUGCUGUGAGUUUGAGCCUUAUAUAACAUGUAUUAAAAAACCCAGAAAUUGUAUUAUAUUUUAGUUUUCUAUACAGUGAUAGCUUAAAAGCUAUGUCAAUUAGCACUGCAUUAUAAGUACACUCUAAAAAGAUGGUUCUUUAAAGGUCUAUUUAGAACCGAGUUUAGGUUUUUUUUUUUAUUCCUGGCUUUUUUAAAAAAAAAAAAAAAAAAAAUUGUAACUGUCAAAACACCUCAUUACUCAUUUUCUGGACAUCAACUAUCCAGCUACACAGACUAUCAACACAGUUUCACAGUUGUGUGACCAGCUCUGUUCGGUUAAGGAUACUCUCUUCUCCACUAAGUAAUAGAGAUGCAUCAUAUUCACAACCUCAUCAUCUGCAGAGAAACUGCCACUCAAUCACACCACAUUUGAUGGGCUUAAAGGCAUCACAGAGGAUCCUGAAGAUACAUUAUUCCUGGAAAUUUUGUCAUUUAUUUUCUAUUUCUAUUUUUACUUUCUGAUGUAUUUUUUUCAUGUUCAUUGUCAACUGUCAUUUAUUAUUUGUAUUUAGCCAAUAACUGUUUUUAGAGCAUUUUCAUUUUUGCUUCAAG